rfam:Fukomys damarensis contig73191, whole genome shotgun sequence.
AGCUUUGCACAAGGGCAGUAUCAUAGCCAAUGAGGUUUAUCCGAGGUACGAUUAUUGCUAAUUAAAAGCAUUUAUUGAACAUUCUCUUAGAGCCUGUAUAGAGGGAUAGGAUGCAUGGAAUUCUGAUGAAAAUAAAAA